rnacentral:rRNA from 1 species
CCUACGGGGGGCAGCAGUGGGGAAUAUUGCACAAUGGGGGAAACCCUGAUGCAGCGACGCCGCGUGAGUGAAGAAGUAUUUCGGUAUGUAAAGCUCUAUCAGCAGGGAAGAAAUAAAGUCCUUCGGACUUUGGACGGUACCUGACUAAGAAGCCCCGGCUAACUACGUGCCAGCAGCCGCGGUAAUACGUAGGGGGCAAGCGUUAUCCGGAUUUACUGGGUGUAAAGGGAGCGUAGACGGCAGCGCAAGUCUGGAGUGAAAUCCCAUGGCUUAACCAUGGAACUGCUUUGGAAACUGGGCAGCUGGAGUACAGGAGAGGUAAGCGGAAUUCCUAGUGUAGCGGUGAAAUGCUUAGAUAUUAGGAGGAACACCAGUGGCGAAGGCGGCUUACUGGACUGUAACUGACGUUGAGGCUCGAAAGCGUGGGGAGCAAACAGGAUUAGAUACCCGUGUAGUC